GAACGCCGUACGUUUUCUUAGGUUAUUAUUCUGUUUCUUUCCAGGCUACCCUUUAACGGAGAUUCCAGUAGAAAACAGAAACGAAUUACCUUUCUGGGCGAUCAUUAUCAUAUGCUUCUGUGUCCUGUUGGGUUUCAUCCUUUUGUUCCUGAUUUCCUUCCUGGUUUCCUUCUGCCUGAGGCAAAGAACAAGCAAGUAUCAGGUUCAACAGGACAUUUUGGGUGUCUACUUCCCCCACCUAGACAUGCGGAAAUCCCGGUGAUGGAAUUCACGGACAUUGGCCCACCCCAUAAUGGGAAAAAAAAAUCUUAUUUUAUUUUUGCACAAACUUUCCUUAGCCUUCCAUCCCUGUGCAAAUGUGUGCAGGAAAUCAAUGUUUACUGUAACUGGAAUGAGCACAGAAAAAUUACAAGCUACCAACCUUUAACUUGGCUUGAACUAAAAGAAAACAUGAUAAUAGUGAACUGCAGAUUCUUCAACGGUACUCCAGCAAUUCCAACCAUACUGCCGCAUUUGGAAGAUGAAGAUGCAACCUUAUUUAUUUAUUAAUGCACUGUUUAAUUAAGGAUGUCUUUUUAUACACACAAACACACAUACAGAGGCCACAAAUGGAAUUAUUUAAUUACUGGAAAGGAAUCAGUUUCGGCCCAAGACACAGUUCGGUGUUACAAUCACUUCCACAUUUUCCUUUGCAGCAAUGGAAAGUCCAACAAAGAAAUUUGAACUCUAUUGCACUUUAAUAUUCUUGUUUCCUUGCGGCAAUAUCUAUCCUUCCUGAUCAAUCACGGAUCCCUGCAUUUUUUUUUUAAUGAUAGUGGAAAUUAUUGCGUAUUUAAAAUGGGAGAUAAUUUCCCAAAAGAGCACUCGCUAAAUAACGGGAAACCCCAUGGUAGAUAAUCACAGGUCUCCGUAAUUGAUCCAGUGAUCCUCCUUUUAUUUUUUUACGUAUUUAAAAUAUUCCAGAUUUCUUAUGAAUGCAUCAAUAAAUAGCAAGCUGAAGCACA
rnacentral:lncRNA from 1 species